rfam:Dipodomys ordii contig_16453, whole genome shotgun sequence.
GGGAAGGUAGCUCAGGGGUAGAGCACUUGCCUUGCAUGCAUGAGGCCCUGGGUUUGAUUCCUCAGCACCA